UACGGGGGGGGCAAGCGUUGUUCGGAAUUACUGGGCGUAAAGGGCUCGUAGGUGGCCAACUAAGUCAGACGUGAAAUCCCUCGGCUUAACCGGGGAACUGCGUCUGAUACUGGAUGGCUUGAGUUCGGGAGAGGGAUGCGGAAUUCCAGGUGUAGCGGUGAAAUGCGUAGAGAUCAUGAGGAAGACCAGUGGCGAAGGCGGGUCUCUGGACAGUUCCUGACACUGAGGCACGAAGUCCAGGGGAGCAAACGGG
rnacentral:rRNA from 1 species